CGGGACAUAGCUCAGCUUGGUAGAGCGCUUGGUUUGGGACCAAGAUGUCGCAGGUUCGAAUCCUGUUGUCCCGACCA
rnacentral:tRNA from 1 species